rnacentral:rRNA from 1 species
CGACAGAAGCCUUCGGGUGGAAGAUGAGGAUGACUGAGUGGCGGACGGGUGAGUAACGCGUGGGUAACCUGCCUUGGUGAGGGGGAUAACAGUUAGAAAUGACUGCUAAUACCGCAUAAGCGCACAGCAUCGCAUGGUGCAGUGUGAAAAACUCCGGUGGUACAAGAUGGACCCGCGUCUGAUUAGCCGGUUGGCAGGGUAACGGCCUACCAAAGCAACGAUCAGUAGCCGACUUGAGAGAGUGAUCGGCCACAUUGGGACUGAGACACGGGCGAGACUCCUACGGGAGGCAGCAGUGGGGGAUAUUGCACAAUGGAGGAAACUCUGAUGCAGCGACGCCGCGUGAGUGAUGAAGUAGUUCGCUGCGUAAAGCUCUAUCAGUAGGGAAGAUAAUGACGGUACCUACAGAAGAAGCUCCGGCUAAAUACGUGCCAGCAGCCGCGGUAAUACGUAUGGAGCAAGCGUUAUCCGGAUUUACUGGGUGUAAAGGGAGCGUAGACUGCACGGCAAGUCAGAUGUGAAAGCCCGGGGCUCAACCCCGGAACUGCAUUUGAAACUGUCGAGCUAGAGUACAGGAGAGGUAAGUGGAAUUCCUAGUGUAGCGGUGAAAUGCGUAGAUAUUAGGAGGAACACCGGUGGCGAAGGCGGCUUACUGGACUGUAACUGACGUUGAGGCUCGAAAGUGUGGGGAGCAAACAGGAUUAGAUACCCUGGUAGUCCACACUGUAAACGAUGAAUGCUAGGUGUAGGGGGUAUCGACCCCUUCUGUGCCGCAGUUAACACAAUAAGCAUUCCGCCUGGGGAGUACGGCCGCAAGGUUGAAACUCAAAGGAAUUGACGGGGGCCCGCACAAGCAGCGGAGCAUGUGGUUUAAUUCGACGCAACGCGAAGAACCUUACCAGGUCUUGACAUCCAGGUAAAGCGGUAGAGAUACCGUGUGUGCUUGCACAAUCUGAGACAGGUGGUGCAUGGUUGUCGUCAGCUCGUGUCGUGAGAUGUUGGGUUAAGUCCCGCAACGAGCGCAACCCUUAUGUUCAGUUACUAACGCGUAGAGGUGAGGACUCUGAACAGACUGCCGGGGACAACUCGGAGGAAGGUGGGGACGACGUCAAAUCAUCAUGCCCCUUAUGACCUGGGCUACACACGUGCUACAAUGGCCACCACAGAGAGAAGCGAGCCUGCAAGGGGGAGCGGAUCUCAAAAAAGUGGUCCCAGUUCGGAUUGUGGGCUGCAACCCGCCCACAUGAAGUCGGAGUUGCUAGUA